rnacentral:rRNA from 1 species
CCUACGGGAGGCAGCAGUGGGGAAUUUUGGACAAUGGGGGAAACCCUGAUCCAGCCAUCCCGCGUGUGCGAUGAAGGCCUUCGGGUUGUAAAGCACUUUUGGCAGGAAAGAAACGUCGCGGGUUAAUACCUCGCGGAACUGACGGUACCUGCAGAAUAAGCACCGGCUAACUACGUCCAGCAGCCGCGGUAAUACGUAGGGGCAAGCGUUAAUCGGAAUUACUGGGCGUAAAGCGUGCGCAGGCGGUUCGGAAAGAAAGAUGUGAAAUCCCAGAGCUUAACUUUGGAACUGCAUUUUUAACUACCGGGCUAGAGUGUGUCAGAGGGAGGUGGAAUUCCGCGUGUAGCAGUGAAAUGCGUAGAUAUGCGGAGGAACACCGAUGGCGAAGGCAGCCUCCUGGGAUAACACUGACGCUCAUGCACGAAAGCGUGGGGAGCAAACAGGAUUAGAUACCCUGGUAGUCCACGCCUUAAACGAUGUCAACUAGCUGUUGGGGUCUUCGGACCUUGGUAGCGCAGCUAACGC